GCUAUAUCACCGGUUCCUGUACGAUCACCGAAGUUAAACAACGUUGAUCUUGGGCUGUACCUAGAUGGUUGACUGCUUGGGAACACCGGGUGGUGUAAG